AACUAUUUUAAUGCUGCCUGCUACCGCUCUAGUUAGAAUUUUAAUUACCAAUGUUUCUGCAUUUGUUUAUGGCAGCAUAUAAUGAACUCUCUUACGUGUCCCCUAGCAGGGUCUGCUACAUGGAUCUUGGUACUCCAUUUCGUGUGACCCAAACUAUAUCCUCCAUAUAUUUAAUACUCAAGACAUUUCUUCAAAUAUUCGCCACAUCUUUCCAGCUUUCUCCUUCCUGAGGCUUUUAUCUUGUAUCUUCAUCAUAACAUCAUAUCUUCUCACUGAUGCCUUUAGACAAACCAUCCCAAAGGAGUUUCAUUCCUAUUAUAUUCUCUCAUCUUGUCGUCAAUUGAAGUCAUGCCAACUACUUUAGGGAUGCGGUAAAUUUAAAUUAUAUCUUUCCUUGAGUAUCCAGACAUCAACUAGAUCAUUCAUUUUUGCCAAAAUCAUUUUCCACUGUUGUUCAUAUAACGGUAUUGACCCCAAUUACUUCGCAAUAUUAACAGUGUUAGUGUUGGUGUUGGUGCUGGAAGAUAUCAAUUAUUUUAUGUCAGUUAUAUUUUGUUGUGGUACAGGAUACCAUUUGCGCUACUCGACUUCAUCUAUUCUUCUUGUAUCCAUGGCAAUAUCCCCCUUUCUCCUCUAUUUGCAAAACUAGUCGAAUGCCUUGUGCCAUGCACAGGAUUUAUAUCUCCUCGAAAUGUUCCGAUACUAAUGUAGUUGUAGUUUUCUACCCCUUUAAUUAGAGUUUAAUAAGUAUACGCUGAAGACCGCUAUAAAGAUUAUUAAAGGUCAAUCUCGUGCAGAAGAGGCAAUGUCUAAAUUUAUGGUGGGAUCUGAGUCAGAUAUCAAUUAAGUGAUUCAUCUACCUUAUAGAAUUAAUGGGACUUAAAUUUCAGGUGGUAAAUUUUAUUUGGUAUCUGCCUAGUGAUACAGAAAAUAUAUUAUUCUGCAGUAGAAGUCUCUCAUAAAUUGCGAUUUUUAGUUUAAAUUAGUUUGUGAUUCACCGAAAUGGUUCCAGGUUAAUCUUAACACUGUUACUGUUAAUUUAUGAUAUACAAUAACCUAUCUCGUGUCUUUGCUUGAGUGGAAUGUCAAUCAUACUUUAUGGACUGUUUGUUGCUAUUACCUGAUUUUUUCCUACAUACUGUAUACAAUUAUUCAAGAUGAAAAUAACAAAAAGUUAUUGGAAACAUAUUUGUCUGCUGAUCAAAUUUGUAGGAAUAUAGGCCAAUACUCAACAACUUGUGUUUCAAUGAUAGCUAAGGCGGUCAGGCUACCUUCACUAAAUAAAAAUAACAUCAGUGGAAUUUAUUGUUAGUGUUUACUAUUUCACUAGUAAUAAGUCUGUGAAGAAUUGUAGAUAGUUAACGUAAUUUGAACAAUGACUUGUUUUCGUUAGUGAAAAAGCUAAUAUUCCAAUUUCAGGUUGAAUACUUUAUACACUUGAUUAUGUGUGUUUCUGUGAUAUGAGAAAGUUAUGGU